GCACUGUUGCGGUGCGAUUUUGGG
rnacentral:siRNA from 1 species